rnacentral:pre_miRNA from 1 species
AUCAACUGGGGAUCUUGUUAAAAUGCAGAUUCCAUUUCAAUAGGUCUCGGGUUGGAUUUGAGAUUCUGCAUUUUUAACAAGCAACCAGGUGAUGCCAA